AGUAAUUUACCUACAAGUAAAUUUCAAUACAUAAACAAAUUGACUCCCUCUCUCUCUAGAAAUGACCGUUGCCAUUUUCUCUCACAUGAUCUGUGAGCUCUGCUGAUGGUUUCCAACAAUUUAUUUGAUUCCAUUUAAAUUAAAUCUAAAAGAUCUGAAAAUAUCCAAUUUGCAGGUUCUUAGGUCAGAGUUGAAGACUUCAAAUCUGCGCGGUGGGCUUUCUGCAAUUUGAUUUUUCGCUCCUCAUUUUUCGUUAUCCGUCGAACGUUUUUGGAUCAAAGAUGGAUCUCGAACUGAUCGAGCCUUGAAAUAAACUCGUAGUAUACAGAAUUUCUUACAGUAUCUAGACAUCACCAAAACACGAUGGCUCAGACGUUAGAAGCUAUAAGGGGUGGUGGGGGAUCGAUUAAACUAGGUACAAUUGGUACAGUGAGUGCGUUAAUGUCGAGAGAAUUAGAUUCCGCGAAAUCCACAUCAGCAAAUGUGCCUUCGGUUGACGAAGCAAGCAGCAGCACAAGCAGUUUCAACAAUCAUAAACUCCCGGAAAAUACCAAAAGGACAACAAAGAACCACACUCGAACCACUACUCAAAUUCCGAUGCUCAAAUCCGAUGAUACAAUAUCGACAGACGGAACUCCUAUAAGACAAAAAAAGCCCAUCAAAAAGGGUCCUGGUAUAGUCGAAAUCGUCGACAUCAAAUGCGGGAGUUCGGACAAGAAGUGGGUGAAUCCAAUCAAGCACCGGCUAAAGAAGCUCGGGUUUUCAAAGCUGUCUCACAGCAUCGUGUAAGGCUUUUUGAGAUUCUUGUAAGUAAAUCGACUCGUGGAGGAAUUCGGGAGAUUUCUUUCGGAUACUUCUACCUUAGAACACAUACUCGGUAUGUACCUUUUUUUCUUGCUCUUCUUUUUCUCGGAUUUCGAAGAAACGUCUGUAGCGAGUUGAUUAUAAGUCUUGUUGGAGGCGCUGCUUCGAUUAUCCAACUCGAGCUGGAUAAAAUAAUCAAUCUCUUGCGUGAUUAGUGAUCCAACGGUACCCCUGGUUCCAAUUGCUACUGGAUUAUUAUUUGAUGUUAUGGCUAGUUUAGCCGAUAGAUCCGAGCCGAAACUUUGAGUCGAUGGCACCGUAUUAUGCCUCGACUUGCUUAGAAUUUGAGGCAUUUUGAGACUUGGUAUUGUUUUCUUUGUGUUUUUCUUCAUGUAUAUAUAUAUAUAUAUAUAUAUAUAUAUAUAUAUAUAGAGUGAAUACAUGUGCAUGCAGUUGAAUCAAAUUUAAGUAGGUGUAAUUAUGUAAACUGAAUAUGAAUGCAGUUUAUUUCAUGACUU